UACUGAGUUUUUAACUCUCCAAACCAUGUGAACUUACCACUGUUGCCUCGGUGGUCGGUGCUGGAAACAGUGCUGCCACCGGUGGACUACUAAACUCUUGUUAAUUUUUGUCAAAUCUGAAUCAAACUAAGAAAUAAGUUAAAACUUUCAACAACGGAUCUCUUGGUUCUGGCAUCGAUGAAGAACGCAGCGAAAUGCGAUAAGUAAUGUGAAUUGCAGAAUUCAGUGAAUCAUCGAAUCUUUGAACGCACAUUGCGCCCAUUAGUAUUCUAGUGGGCAUGCCUGUUCGAGCGUCAUUUCAACCCUUAAGCCUAGCUUAGUGUUGGGAGACUGCCUAAUACGCAGCUCCUCAAAACCAGUGGCGGAGUCUGUUCGUGCUCUGAGCGUAGUAAUUUUUUAUCUCGCUUCUGCAAGCCGGCCAGACGACAGCCAUAAACCGCACCCUCUCGGGGGGCACUUUUUUAAUGGUUGACCUCGGAUCAGGUAGGAAUACCCGCUGAACUUAAGCAUAUCAAUAAGCGGAGGAAAAGAAACCAACAGGGA
rnacentral:rRNA from 1 species